UGGAUCACGUGGCCAUUUCCUUAUUAAA
rnacentral:piRNA from 1 species